rnacentral:lncRNA from 1 species
ACUCGAUCUACGCGCUGGCCUUCUCCCCCUCCGCGCCCGUCCUCGCCGCCGGGAGCUUCCUCGAGGACCUCCACAACCGCGUCUCCCUCCUCUGCUUCGACUCCGUCCACCCCACCGCCGCCUCCUUCCGCACCGUCCCCUCCCUCUCCUUCGACCACCCGUACCCGCCCACCAAGCUCCAGUUCAACCCGCGCGCCGCCUCCACGCCCCUCCUCGCCUCCUCCUCCGACGCCCUCCGCCUCUGGCACGCCCCCCUCGACGACCUCUCCGCCUCCGCCCCCGCCCCCGAGCUCCGCUCCGUCCUCGACAACCGCAAGGCCUCCGCCUCGGAGUUCUGCGCGCCCCUCACCUCCUUCGACUGGAACGAGAUCGAGCCCCGCCGCAUCGGGACCGCCUCCAUCGACACCACCUGCAC